UUAUAUCAUUGUUUCAUCGUAUCAAAGUACUAAGAAGGCAAGAAACCCGAUUUUGCAUAUUUAUUGCUAGUUUCUCAGUCGAAUGCUAAAUACAGUGAAAAAUAGACAUGGUGUCGUAAAAUGCCUUUGGAAAUAGAAAAAACUGUAAAAAUUAUUGAUGAUAAAAAAUGAACUUUUUCAAAGCCGAGAGGAAGGCAACAUGGCAAAUACACAUUGUACAAGAAGAAGCGUUUGUGAAAUGUUUAUUUAGUAAUAAUGUAAUAUUAAAUAAAUUACAUCAAUUACACAAUUACUAACUACUUUAA